rnacentral:rRNA from 1 species
UGGGGGAUAUUGCACAAUGGGCGAAAGCCUGAUGCAGCGACGCCGCGUGGGGGAUGAAGGCCUUCGGGUUGUAAACUUCUUUUGCUCUGAACAAGGCAUGCUAAUGGGUGUGUUGAGUGUAGGGGUUGAUUAGCGCCGGCUAACUACGUGCCAGCAGCCGCGGUAAUACGUAGGGCGCGAGCGUUGUCCGGAAUUAUUGGGCGUAAAGGGCUUGUAGGUGGCUGGUUGCGUCUGUCGUGAAAGCUCAUGGCUUAACUGUGGGUUUGCGGUGGGUACGGGCUGGCUUGAGUGCAGUAGGGGAGGCUGGAAUUCCUGGUGUAGCGGUGGAAUGCGCAGAUAUCAGGAGGAAUACCGGUGGCGAAGGCGGGUCUCUGGGCUCUUACUGACACUGAGGAGCGAAAGCAUGGGGAGCUAACAGG